rnacentral:rRNA from 1 species
AGCAGCCGCGGUAAUUCCAGCUCCAAUAGCGUAUAUUAAAGUUGUUGCAGUUAAAAAGCUCGUAGUUGAAUUUCGGGGUUAGUAAGUUGGUCAUGCCUCCGGUAUGUACUGGCUUUACUGAUUCCUCCUUCUUGAUGAACUGUAACGUCAUUAAUUUGGUGUUGCAGGGAAUCAGGACUGUUACUUUGAAAAAUUAGAGUGUUUAAAGCAGGCAUACGCUUGAAUACAUUAGCAUGGAAUAAUGAAAUAGGACGUUUGAUCCUAUUUUGUUGGUUUCUAGGAUUGACGUAAUGAUUAAUAGGGAUAGUUGGGGGCAUUAGUAUUCAAUUGUCAGAGGUGAAAUUCUUGGAUUUAUUGAAGACUAACUACUGCGAAAGCAUUUGCCAAGGAUGUUUUCAUUAAUCAAGAACGAAAGUUAGGGGAUCGAAGACGAUCAGAUACCGUCGUAGUCUUAACCAUAAACUAUGCCGACUAGGGAUCGGAUGAUGUUAUUUUUAAUGACUCAUUCGGCGCCUUAAC